AGUGAACGCUGGCGGUAGGCCUAACACAUGCAAGUCGAACGGCAGCACAGUAAGAGCUUGCUCUUACGGGUGGCGAGUGGUGGACGGGUGAGGAAUACAUCGGAAUCUACUUUUUCGUGGGGGAUAACGUAGGGAAACUUACGCUAAUACCGCAUACGACCUACGGGUGAAAGCAGGGGAUCUUCGGACCUUGCGCGAUUGAAUGAGCCGAUGUCGGAUUAGCUAGUUGGCGGGGUAAAGGCCCACCAAGGCGACGAUCCAUAGCUGGUCUGAGAGGAUGAUCAGCCACACUGGAACUGAGACACGGUCCAGACUCCUACGGGAGGCAGCAGUGGGGAAUAUUGGACAAUGGGCGCAAGCCUGAUCCAGCCAUACCGCGUGGGUGAAGAAGGCCUUCGGGUUGUAAAGCCCUUUUGUUGGGAAAGAAAAGCAGCAGGUUAAUACCCCGCUGUUCUGACGGUACCCAAAGAAUAAGCACCGGCUAACUUCGUG
rnacentral:rRNA from 1 species